UUAAAACUCGGCCGGUCGGAUCAAUUCGACUGUGACACAGUCGGUAAGCCAGGCCAAUUGAGGCAAAAAACCGAGGACCUUAAUCCACCCAGUUUAACCUGUGGUUGGAUCGACGGUACUAUAGCAAACCGCCAAUCCAAUCGGUUUUUCCAGUAAACCAGGCCAACAAAAAAAAAAAAUCCCUUUCAUUCCCCGAACCCAAAUUCCAAUGAUUUUCACCCAUUUCCCUUCGAGGCUUUGACAUUUUCCUUUGAAAAUCUUUCACCGUGACUCCCAUUUGCGCAAUUUCCUCUCUUCACCAUCGAUCUCCUCCUUUUCAUCGUCAGCUCGCCAGGUACUGUCGUCUCUUCCUCCCAUUUGCCCGAUCUCCUCUCUUCAGUCUUGAUCGUCGAUCUCCUCCUCUUCGUCGUCAACUAUAGCUCAUCUUUGUCGAUUUCCUUCGACAUUUACGAUUUCUUCUCAUCGAGCUCUAACCCCAUUUUUUCACUCUCCCAUUUGCAAUUUUUUCAUUUCACCUUCGAUUUUUCAUUUCAUCUGUCUCAAAUUUUUCAUUUCCACUUUUCCACUUCAACGACAGCCCACAACCUUUUUUCAUCUUCAUCAGCUCGCUUUCAUCUUUGACAGCAGCUCUAAUCGACAUCAGAUGAUGUUGAUCAUGUUAAUAAUGAAGAUGAUCAUCUAUCAUAUGGUGUGUGAAGUUCAAUUGAGGAUGGAUUGCAGAUCACUAGUUGGAGCAAAACCAAGCAAAAAAGAGUUUCUGGACCCAGAAUCGAGAAAAAUUCAGAAGAUUAGGGGAAUUCUGAUGCUGAUUGGAAGCACCCUUGGAGUUUGUUCCUAUUGGGGAUCACGAAGAUAGAAAAUUCAAGCAAAAAAGUAAGGCAGGGCAGUUCCGUAAAUUCAGCAAAGAAGAUCAGGAGUUUACCGCGGCACGGUUUUCUUUUCGCAGUGACAAGCUAGCCUUUGGACGCAUGGGUCAAUGAAAUUCAAGUCGAUGCCACGGCAAAAAACUGCAUUUUUAGUUUUUGUUAAAACGCUGCGUUUUUCGAUUAUUGUAUUAGGUCCUAGGGUUUGGGCCGACUAUGUAAGAGUAACUUAGCUCAUUUUGAGGGGGGAGCUCGACAUUUUGGGAAAGAGGGAGAGGAGAAGAAGAUUUGAAGAGUUGGAUCUCCAAAAUUAGAGAAGUUUCUUUUCCCUUUCUUGUUUUUAUGAUGUUGAACACUGAUUUUGU